rnacentral:rRNA from 1 species
ACCAAGGGUUCCUGUCCACCGUUAAUCGGGGCAGGGUGAGUCGGCCCCUAAGGCGAGGCUGAAAAGCGUAGUCGAUGGGAAACGGGUUAAUAUUCCCGUACUUGGAUAAACUGCGAUGUGGGGACGGAGCAGGUUAGGUUAUCGCACUGUUGGAUAUGUGCGUUUAAGUUUGUAGGUGGGAAGUUUAGGCAAAUCCGGACUUCUAUUAAACACUGAGAGAUGAUGACGAGGCUCUACGGAGCUGAAGUAACCGAUACCACACUUCCAGGAAAAGCCACUAAGCUUCAGGUUUAUCUAAACCGUACUGAAAACCGACACAGGUGGUCAGGUAGAGAAUACUCAGGCGCUUGAGAGAACUCGGGUGAAGGAACUAGGCAAAAUAGCACCGUAACUUCGGGAGAAGGUGCGCCGGCGUAGAUUGUAGUCCCUUGCGGGCGAAGGUUGAACCGGUCGAAGAUACCAGCUGGCUGCAACUGUUUAUUAAAAACACAGCACUCUGCAAACACGAAAGUGGACGUAUAGGGUGUG